UCAAUGACGCCAUGAAAAAGCGAUCAGCUCUUUUUAAAAUGAGCUGAUCGCUUUUGUUGUCUUAAUUAGAAUU
rnacentral:sRNA from 1 species